rnacentral:rRNA from 1 species
GGUGGAUAGGUUAGGGAGAUGCUGGCGGCGUGCCUAAUACAUGCAAGUCGAACGCCUCUUUUUCCACCGGAGCUUGCUCCAUCGGAAAAAGAGGAGUGGCGAACGGGUGAGUAACACGUGGGUAACCUGCCCAUCAGAAGGGGAUAACACUUGGAAACAGGUGCUAAUACCGUAUAACAAUCGAAACCGCAUGGUUUCGAUUUGAAAGGCGCUUUCGGGUGUCGCUGAUGGAUGGACCCGCGGUGCAUUAGCUAGUUGGUGAGGUAACGGCUCACCAAGGCGACGAUGCAUAGCCGACCUGAGAGGGUGAUCGGCCACAUUGGGACUGAGACACGGCCCAAACUCCUACGGGAGGCAGCAGUAGGGAAUCUUCGGCAAUGGACGAAAGUCUGACCGAGCAACGCCGCGUGAGUGAAGAAGGUUUUCGGAUCGUAAAACUCUGUUGUUAGAGAAGAACAAGGAUGAGAGUAACUGUUCAUCCCUUGACGGUAUCUAACCAGAAAGCCACGGCUAACUACGUGCCAGCAGCCGCGGUAAUACGUAGGUGGCAAGCGUUGUCCGGAUUUAUUGGGCGUAAAGCGAGCGCAGGCGGUUUCUUAAGUCUGAUGUGAAAGCCCCCGGCUCAACCGGGGAGGGUCAUUGGAAACUGGGAGACUUGAGUGCAGAAGAGGAGAGUGGAAUUCCAUGUGUAGCGGUGAAAUGCGUAGAUAUAUGGAGGAACACCAGUGGCGAAGGCGGCUCUCUGGUCUGUAACUGACGCUGAGGCUCGAAAGCGUGGGGAGCAAACAGGAUUAGAUACCCUGGUAGUCCACGCCGUAAACGAUGAGUGCUAAGUGUUGGAGGGUUUCCGCCCUUCAGUGCUGCAGCUAACGCAUUAAGCACUCCGCCUGGGGAGUACGACCGCAAGGUUGAAACUCAAAGGAAUUGACGGGGGCCCGCACAAGCGGUGGAGCAUGUGGGUUUAAUUCGAAGCAACGCGAAGAACCU